UAAGUAAAUCGCCUUAUCGCUUUUAUGCUGAACUUGUUUCAGUAUCUUAUUAUUUUUGACUUUAAAGUUGAUUUGAAAAGGUACUGAAACGAGUUCAGCACUAAGGAGGAAAGUCCGAACACCGUAGUGCAACAUAGUGGCUAAUAACCACCAGCCGUGAGGUUAGGAAAAGUGCAACAGAAAGUAUGUACAGGUAAUGCUGUAGUGAAACCAGGUAAACUCUAUGUGGUGCAAUGUCAUGUAUACCAACGUUUGAGGGCGGCACGCUCGAUUGUUGGAGGGUAGGCAGCUAAAGUGUAUUGGUAACAAUGCACGUAGAUAAAUGAUAAGGGCUCUUUAUAGAGUACAGAAUUCGGCUUAUAGAUUUACUUAGAUA
rnacentral:RNase_P_RNA from 1 species